rnacentral:lncRNA from 1 species
CCUGUUAAAAACAUUAAAGUUUUCAAAGUGAUUAGAAAUCAUUAGAGCACAACUUCUGGGAAAGAAACAUGUUGCAAAGAACAAAAACAUGAUGCUAAAGGAGUGGAGUGGUAUCGAUAUCUCAUGAUAUGUGUGUGGAGAGGGGACAUGUCAUGGGAUAAAAACAUUUGCUUUUUAUAUGUCAUUAUGUCAGACUGUAUUUCCCACAGAAACAAGGGACUUUUCCUCAAGCUUUCAAGUAGAUGGGAAGGACCAUGCACAGUUCUGGAUAAGUUACCUGAAGUUGUCUACAGAAUACAACUACACAGAGGACAUCAGUUGGUGGUUCUACAAGAGGACAAUUGACUGAGUCUGCAGAGUCAUUUUCCUACUGGAUACUACAGUGUCAGUUGAUACAACAAAUGAAACUGAGCCGUAUUCUGUACAGUAUUUAGAUGGAAAACAUCAGCUCCAAACUCAACAGCAUUUGUGGUCACUGAAUGAGGUAACUCACAGCAUUUUAUAGUAAAACAAACAUGGAACAUCACUCUUUUUAGAGCAAC